UGACGUCAAGUCCUCAUGGCCUUAUGCCCAGGGCUACACACGUGCUACAAUGGGUGGUACAAAGAAGAUGCAAUCUCGCAAGAGCAAGCAAACCUCAAAAAAGCCAUCCUCAGUUCGGAUUGGAGUCUGCAACUCGACUCCAUGAAGUCGGAAUCGCUAGUAAUCGCGGAUCAGCACGCCGCGGUGAAUACGUUCCCGGGCCUU
rnacentral:rRNA from 1 species